rnacentral:rRNA from 1 species
CCUACGGGUGGCAGCAGUGGGGGAUAUUGGACAAUGGGGGAAACCCUGAUCCAGCGACGCCGCGUGAGUGAAGAAGUAUUUCGGUAUGUAAAGCUCUAUCAGCAGGGAAGAAAGAAAUGACGGUACCUGAGUAAGAAGCCCCGGCUAACUACGUGCCAGCAGCCGCGGUAAUACGUAGGGGGCAAGCGUUAUCCGGAAUUACUGGGUGUAAAGGGAGCGUAGACGGUAAUGCAAGUCUGGAGUGAAAGGCGGGGGCUCAACCCCCGGACGGCACUGGAAACUGUGUAACUGGAGUGCAGGAGAGGCAGGCGGAAUUCCUAGUGUAGCGGUGAAAUGCGUAGAUAUUAGGAGGAACACCAGUGGCGAAGGCGGCCUGCUGGACUGUAACUGACGUUGAGGCUCGAAGGCGUGGGGAGCAAACAGGAUUAGAUACCCGGGUAGUC